AUGUAUAAAAUAAUAAAUAUACUCCCGCUUGUAACCGUUCAGAAAAAAGAAAUUUCUUUAUCAUUAAUCCCCAAAAUUAAUAUUUUAAUUAAACUAUUUCUUGAUAUUAUACAAUGAAUUUUAAUAACUCUUCUAUUUAUUUUUAAUUUUAUUAUUAUAAAUAUUAAACAUCCAUUAGCUAUGGGAUUAACCUUACUUAUUCAAACUAUUUUAGUUUCAAUAAUUUCAGGAUUAAUAACUAAAACAUUUUGAUUUUCUUAUAUUUUAUUUUUAGUAUUUUUAGGAGGAAUACUAGUUCUAUUCAUUUAUGUAACUUCUUUAGCUUCAAAUGAAAUAUUUACAUUUUCUUCAAAAAUUUUGAUUUCAUCAAUUUCUAUUUUUUUUAUUAUAAUUAUUUCAUUAUAUUUUAUUGACAAAAGAAUUCUAUUAAAUUAUUCUAAUAUAGAAAUUCAAUCAAUUUCUAAUUUAAAUUCAUAUAUAAUAGAAAAUUCUCUUUCUUUAAACAAACUAUAUAAUUAUCCAACUAAUUUGUUAACAAUUUUAUUAAUAAAUUAUUUAUUAAUUACAUUAAUUGCAGUAGUAAAAAUUACUAAUUUAUUUAAGGGACCUUUACGACCUAUAUUUAAUUAACUAAUGAACAAACCUUUACGACUUAAACAUCCAAUUUUAAAUAUUGCAAAUAAUGCAUUAGUAGACCUACCUGCUCCAAGUAAUAUUUCAUCAUGAUGAAAUUUCGGAUCAUUACUAGGUUUAUGUUUAAUUAUUCAAAUUUUAACUGGAUUAUUUCUUGCUAUACAUUAUACAGCAGAUAUUAAUUUAGCAUUUAAUAGAGUAAAUAAUAUUUGUCGAGACGUUAAUUAUGGUUGAUUAUUACGAACUUUACAUGCUAAUGGUGCAUCAUUUUUCUUUAUUUGCAUUUAUCUACAUGUAGGACGAGGAAUAUAUUAUGGAUCAUAUUUAUAUACACCAACCUGACUAGUAGGAGUAAUUAUUUUAUUUCUAGUUAUAGGAACAGCUUUUAUAGGAUACGUUCUUCCUUGAGGACAAAUAUCUUUCUGAGGAGCAACAGUUAUUACUAAUUUAUUAUCAGCUAUUCCUUAUUUAGGAAUUGACUUAGUACAAUGAGUUUGAGGAGGAUUUGCUGUAGACAAUGCGACUUUAACUCGAUUUUUCACUUUCCAUUUUAUUUUACCUUUUAUUGUAUUAGCAAUAACAAUAAUCCAUUUAUUAUUUUUACAUGAAACCGGUUCAAAUAAUCCUAUUGGAUUAAAUUCUAAUAUUGAUAAAAUUCCUUUCCAUCCUUAUUUUACUUAUAAGGAUAUCGUUGGAUUUAUUAUUAUAACAAUAAUUUUAAUUUUAUUAGUAUUAAUUAAUCCAUACUUAUUAGGAGACCCUGAUAAUUUUAUCCCCGCUAAUCCUUUAGUUACACCUGUUCAUAUUCAACCUGAAUGAUACUUUUUAUUCGCUUAUGCUAUUCUUCGAUCUAUUCCAAAUAAGUUAGGAGGAGUAAUUGCAUUAGUUUUAUCAAUUGCAAUUUUAGCAAUUUUACCUUUUUAUCACUUAAGAAAGUUCCGAGGAAUCCAAUUUUAUCCAAUUAAUAAAAUUAUAUUCUGAACAAUAGUAGUUACAGUUAUUUUAUUAACAUGAAUUGGCGCUCGACCAGUUGAAGCUCCUUACGUUUUAGUUGGUCAAAUUUUAACAGUAGUUUAUUUCUCUUAUUUCUUAUUUAAUCCUUUAGUAACAAAGUGAUGAGAUAAUUUAUUAAAUUA